rnacentral:rRNA from 1 species
UACGUAGGUGGCAAGCGUUAUCCGGAAUUAUUGGGCGUAAAGCGCGCGCAGGCGGUUCGUUAAGUCAGAUGUGAAAGCCCCGGGCUCAACCUGGGAACUGCAUUUGAAACUGGCGGGCUUGAGUAUGGCAGAGGGGGGUGGAAUUCCGCGUGUAGCAGUGAAAUGCGUAGAUAUGUGGAGGAAUACCGAUGGCGAAGGCAGCCCCCUGGGAUAACACUGACGCUCAUGCACGAAAGCGUGGGGAGCAAACAGG